GACGAACGCUGGCGGCGUGCUUAACACAUGCAAGUCGAUCGGUAGCACAGAGAGCUUGCUCUCGGGUGACGAGCGGCGGACGGGUGAGUAAUGUCUGAGAAACUGCCUGAUGGAGGGGGAUAACUACUGGAAACGGUAGCUAAUACCGCAUAACGUCGCAAGACCAAAGUGGGGGACCUUCCGGCCUCAUGCCAUCAGAUGUGCCCAGAUGGGAUUAGCUAGUAGGUGGGGUAACGGCUCACCUAGGCGACGAUCCCUAGCUGGUCUGAGAGGAUGACCAGCCACACUGGAACUGAGACACGGUCCAGACUCCUACGGGAGGCAGCAGUGGGGAAUAUUGCACAAUGGGCGCAAGCCUGAUGCAGCCAUGCCGCGUGUGUGAAGAAGGCCUUCGGGUUGUAAAGCACUUUCAGCGGGGAGGAAGGCGGUGAGGUUAAUAACCUCAUCGAUUGACGUUACCCGCAGAAGAAGCACCGGCUAACUCCGUGCCAGCCGCCGCAGUAAGAC
rnacentral:rRNA from 1 species